rnacentral:lncRNA from 1 species
CUAACCGACAAAACCCUAUUAAGCCUUGAUGGCUUAAUACCCAAGGGUUUAUUUCUCAUUUAUGUGAAGUCCAGUAGGGGUCCGGCUGCCCUCUUCUCUCUGAAAGAGCCAUCUGGAACACAGGGCCCCCAAGGUCUUUGCUGUGGGGGAAAAAUAAGGUGGAGGAAGUGCCUGGCUCAUAGUCCCUUGGCCAGAAUCAGUCACAUGACCCCAACCUAACUUCAGGGGAGGCUGGGAAGUACAGGUUGGAAAACAUGAAAUACCUGGUAAGCACUGAUCCUCUCUGCCAUAUUGACUAGCAUGAUUCCAUGAUUUUCUGUGUUUUCCAGCAACUCACCGAUGAAGAUGUUGAACAGGUUAAAGCCAGGCAGGAGGACUGUCAGCGAACAACAGCACCUUAGUCCUCAAGGAAGUUAUUCUUCACAGGGCUGUGGGCAAGAAGAAUGCUUUUGCAGACAACCAGAGUCAUUCCUAGAAGCAAGGACUAUGACAGCAAGCUAAGAUAGUUCUCGUUUGCUGGUUGUAGUGGAUACACUAAUUUCAUUCCUUUGUCGAGGUAGAGUCCAAGUCCCAGCUGGAGGAUGCAUUUUGUUAUCCUGUUGCUCAAUUCCUAAUGGACAUAAGAAAGGUUAUUUCCUGAGUAUAGAAUACCAGAAGAGGAAUUUAUAAGUGAAG